AUGGACCACAUGCGCACUCCGGUCUGAGCGCCGUCAAAGCCAGCUGACGACUGCUCGCUACGUUUCUAGCU
rnacentral:sRNA from 1 species